UUCCUGCAAUCGAGGAGUCUUUGACGACACUCAACGAUACAAAGAAGAUUAGCAUGGCCCCUGUGCAAGCAUGAUACGCACAAAUCGAGAAAUGGUCCAAUAUUUU